UACGUAGGGGGCAAGCGUUGUCCGGAUUUAUUGGGCGUAAAGAGCGUGUAGGCGGCUAGGUAGGUCCGUUGUGAAAACUCGAGGCUCAACCUCGAGCUGUCGAUGGAAACCAUCUGGCUAGAGUCCGGAAGAGGAGAGUGGAAUUCCUGGUGUAGCGGUGAAAUGCGCAGAUAUCAGGAAGAACACCCGUGGCGAAGGCGGCUCUCUGGUACGUGACUGACGCUGAGACGCGAAAAGCGU
rnacentral:rRNA from 1 species